rnacentral:rRNA from 1 species
GAUGAACGCUGGCGGCGUGCCUAAUACAUGCAAGUCGAGCGAACAGACGAGGAGCUUGCUCCUCUGACGUUAGCGGCGGACGGGUGAGUAACACGUGGAUAACCUACCUAUAAGACUGGGAUAACUUCGGGAAACCGGAGCUAAUACCGGAUAAUAUAUUGAACCGCAUGGUUCAAUAGUGAAAGACGGUUUUGCUGUCACUUAUAGAUGGAUCCUCGCCGCAUUAACUAGUUGGUAAGGUAACGGCUUACCAAGGCAACGAUGCGUAGCCGACCUGAGAGGGUGGUCGGCCACAAUGGAACUGAGACAAGGUCCAGACUCCUAAGGGAGGCAGCAGUAGGGAAUCAUCCGCAAUGGGCGAAAGCCUGACGGAGCAAAGCCGCGUGAGUGAUAAAGGUCUUCGGAUCGUAAAACUCUGUUAUUAGGGAAGAACAAAUGUGUAAGUAACUAUGCACGUCUUGACGGUACCUAAUCAGAAAGCCACGGCUAACUACGUG